GCCGCGUGUGUGAAGAAGGCCUUCGGGUUGUAAAGCACUUUCAGUCGUGAGGAAGGUGGGUUAAUAGCAAUCAUUUGACGUUAGCGACAGAAGAAGCACCGGCUAACUCCGUGCCAGCAGCCGCGGUAAUACGGAGGGUGCGAGCGUUAAUCGGAAUUACUGGGCGUAAAGCGCAUGCAGGUGGUUUGUUAAGUCAGAUGUGAAAGCCCGGGGCUCAACCUCGGAAUAGCAUUUGAAACUGGCAGACUAGAGUACUGUAGAGGGGGGUAGAAUUUCAGGUGUAGCGGUGAAAUGCGUAGAGAUCUGAAGGAAUACCGGUGGCGAAGGCGGCCCCCUGGACAGAUACUGACACUCAGAUGCGAAAGCGUGGGGAGCAAACAGGAUUAGAUACCCUGGUAGUCCACGCCGUAAACGAUGUCUACUUGGAGGUUGUGGCCUUGAGCCGUGGCUUUCGGAGCUAACGCGUUAAGUAGACCGCCUGGGGAGUACGUCGCAAGAUUAAAACUCAAAUGAAUUGACGGGGGCCCGCACAAGCGGUGGAGCAUGUGGUUUAAUUCGAUGCAACGCGAAGAACCUUACCUACUCUUGACAUCCAGAGAACUUUC
rnacentral:rRNA from 1 species